rnacentral:rRNA from 1 species
AUGGCUGCCAAGACCACCUCAUGCUUCACCUUCCUCAAGGAAGCGCUGGUCCUCCCCACGCGAAACCCCAAGCUCUUCGCCCCCAUCCUCAUCUUUGUGGCCGCCAUCGCCUUCCUCAUCCCCGCGGUCAACGUGGUCUUCAUCCAGCCGCUCACCGCCGAGAUGCUGCACCACGUCGCCGAGAUGCAGACCACCGACCCCUCGAGCGCCGAGUACGCCAGGCUCCUGGAGGAGAUACGUCAGGAGGCCAGGGAGCUCGUCCUCAUCGCCGUCGCCCUCACGGUCGUCACCCUGCCGCUCGUCUUCGCCAAGCAGAUCCUCGCCUUCUCCGCGGCCUCCACGACGUACUCCGGCGACCGCUACUCCCUCGCGGAGCUCCUCCGCAGGGUGACCAAGUGGGCCAACCUGAGGGGCCCUCUCGUCACCGUGGGCGUGGUCACCGCGCUCCAGCUCACGUUCAUGGCGCUCCUGGGCGUCUACCUCUCCGCCGUCAUGCGCCACGCGGGGGUGCUCUCCGUGCAAGGCGCGGUCUUCGUCCUCGCCUUUCUCGCCUUCAUGUACUUCGGGGUCGUGGCCGUGGUGGGCGUCGCCGUGUCGGUGGCCGACGAGGGGUGCCGCGGCGUGCGCGCGCUCGGGCGGGCGUGGCGGCUCAUGACGCGGGUGAGGCGGAAGGAGGGCGCCCUGCUGGCGGCGGUGAUGGUCCUCCUGCCGACCGUUGUGAGCCCGGUGUACGCGCUCGCGCUCACGUACGCCAGGAAGAGCAUGGCGGUGGGGCUGUACCUGCUGUUUGGGUACGCUCUUCUGUCUGCUGCGGUGCAGGUGUUCUACAUCGCGGCGGCUACGGUGUACUACUAUGAGGCCAUGGAGAGCAAAGAGGUGGUGGUGACUUUUCAUGGCUAUGCCAAGAUACCUUCCGGUGAGGGUGAGGCAAAUGUCUGA